rnacentral:rRNA from 1 species
UACGGAGGGGACUAGCGUUGUUCGGAAUUACUGGGCGUAAAGCGCACGUAGGCGGAUUUGUAAGUCAGGGGUGAAAUCCCGAGGCUCAACCUCGGAACUGCCUUUGAUACUGCAAAUCUCGAGUCCGGAAGAGGUGAGUGGAAUUCCUAGUGUAGAGGUGGAAUGCGCAGAUAUCAGGAGGAACACCGAUGGCGAAGGCGGGUCUCUGGGCCGAUACUGACGCUGAGGAGCGAAAGCGUGGGGAGCGAACAGG